GUGGGGGAUAUUGCGCAAUGGGGGGAACCCUGACGCAGCAACGCCGCGUGAAGGAAGAAGGUCUUCGGAUCGUAAACUUCUGUCUUCAGGGACGAAGAAUGACGGUACCUGAGGAGGAAGCCACGGCUAACUACGUGCCAGCAGCCGCGGUAAUACGUAGGUGGCAAGCGUUGUCCGGAUUUACUGGGUGUAAAGGGCGUGUAGGCGGGACUGCAAGUCAGAUGUGAAAUACCGGGGCUCAACUCCGGGGCUGCAUCUGAAACUGUGGUUCUUGAGUGCCGGAGAGGGAAGCGGAAUUCCUAGUGUAGCGGUGAAAUGCGUAGAUAUUAGGAGGAACACCAGUGGCGAAGGCGGCUUUCUGGACGGUAACUGACGCUGAGGCGCGAAAGCGUGGGGAGCAAACAGGAUUAGAAACCCUAGUAGUCC
rnacentral:rRNA from 1 species